GAUGAACGCUAGCGGCAGGCUUAAUACAUGCAAGUCGAGGGGCAGCAUGAAUGUAGCGAUACAUUUGAUGGCGACCGGCAAACGGGUGCGGAACACGUACACAACCUUCCUAUAAGUGGGGAAUAGCCCAGAGAAAUUUGGAUUAAUACCCCGUAACAUAAUGAUGUGGCAUCACAUUAUUAUUAUAGCUUCGGCGCUUAUUGAUGGGUGUGCGGCUGAUUAGAUAGUUGGCGGGGUAACGGCCCACCAAGUCUACGAUCAGUAGCUGAUGUGAGAGCAUGAUCAGCCACACGGGCACUGAGACACGGGCCCGACUCCUACGGGAGGCAGCAGUAAGGAAUAUUGGUCAAUGGACGCAAGUCUGAACCAGCCAUGCCGCGUGAAGGAUUAAGGUCCUCUGGAUUGUAAACUUCUUUUAUCUGGGACGAAAAAAGGCUAUUCUUAGUCACUUGACGGUACCAGAUGAAUAAGCACCGGCUAACUCCGUGCCAGCCGCCGCCGUAAGAC
rnacentral:rRNA from 1 species